AUGCGUCCCAUUAGCUAGAUGGUAAGGUAACGGCUUACCAUGGCAACGAUGGGUAGGGGUCCUGAGAGGGAGAUCCCCCACACUGGUACUGAGACACGGACCAGACUCCUACGGGAGGCAGCAGUGAGGAAUAUUGGACAAUGGGCGCAAGCCUGAUCCAGCCAUGCCGCGUGCAGGAUGACGGUCCUAUGGAUUGUAAACUUCUUUAGGGG
rnacentral:rRNA from 1 species